AGUGAACGCUGGCGGUAGGCCUAACACAUGCAAGUCGAACGGCAGCACAGUAAGAGCUUGCUCUUACGGGUGGCGAGUGGCGGACGGGUGAGGAAUACAUCGGAAUCUACUUUUUCGUGGGGGAUAACGUAGGGAAACUUACGCUAAUACCGCAUACGACCUACGGGUGAAAGCAGGGGAUCUUCGGACCUUGCGCGAUUGAAUGAGCCGAUGUCGGAUUAGCUAGUUGGCGGGGUAAAGGCCCACCAAGGCUACGAUCCGUAGCUGGUCUGAGAGGAUGAUCAGGUACACUGGAUGUGAGACACGUUACAGACUCCUACACGGAGCAACAGUGGGGAAUAUUGGACAAUGGGGGCAAGCCUGAUCCUGCCAUAUCGCGUGGGUGAAGAAGGAGUUCUGGUUGGAAAGCCCUUUUGUUGGGAAAGAAAAGCAGCAGUUUAAUACCCCGCUGUUCUGACGGUACCCAAAGAAUAAGCACCGGCUAACUUCGUG
rnacentral:rRNA from 1 species